rnacentral:rRNA from 1 species
UACGUAGGCAGCAAGCGUUGUUCGGAGUUACUGGGCGUAAAGGGUGUGUAGGCGGUUGUUUAAGUUUGGUGUGAAAUCUCCCGGCUCAACUGGGAGGGUGCGCCGAAUACUGAAUGACUUGGAGUGCGGGAGAGGAAAGUGGAAUUCCUGGUGUAGCGGUGAAAUGCGUAGAUAUCAGGAGGAACACCGGUGGUGUAGACGGCUUUCUGGACCGUAACUGACGCUGAGACACGAAAGCGUGGGGAGCAAACAGG